AACAAUCCCAAGGCAUUCAAGAGGCUUAGAGAUGAGAUCAACACAGUUGUUGGGCCUAAUAGACUUGUUAAGGAAUCAGAUGUCCCAAACCUCCCUUACCUUAAAGCAGUCAUGAGAGAAACACUAAGACUUCACCCUUCAGCACCUUUAAUCAUCAGAGAAUGCGCUGAAGAUUGCAAGGUCAACGGCUCUGUCGUUAAGGCCAAGACAAGAGUUCUUGUCAAUGUCUAUGCAGUCAUGAGGGACCCGGAAUCAUGGGCUAAUCCCGACGAAUUCAUGCCUGAAAGGUUUUUGGAGAGCUCCGAGGAGAAAAUUGGCGAGCAUCAGAUGGAAUUCAAGGGUCAAAAUUUCCGGUUCCUUCCAUUUGGGAGUGGAAGAAGAGGAUGCCCUGGUGCAUCCCUUGCUAUGAUGAUCAUGCAUGCUGCAGUAGGGGCCUUGGUUCAGUGCUUUGAUUGGAAAAUCAAGGAUGGGAAGGAGGUGGAUUUAACCUUAGGACCUGGCUUUGCAGCAGAAAUGGCUCAUCCACUCGUGUGCUACCCUAUUAAGCACAUGAACGCAUAUUAGGAGAGCCACCAUGGAACUCUCAUCGAUCGAUCAUUUACUUCUUUGUUUAGUAAGGUGUGCCUAUAUAUGUACUUUGAAAGUCCUUAGGUUUGGUUGUUUUAGGAACAUGCAAGUACGUACUUCCCUCUAUCAGUACCUGGGACAAAGUUAUGAUUUGAAAUAUAAAUUGAAAUAAAUUAAUGUAUGUGUAUUUUACCUUGUGCACACCUUAAUUUGUCUUAUAUCUUUGUUGUUGUAAAAUUUAAUGAUAUUGAAACUCUAACUACCAAUACUUAAUCAAUUAGAUUGAGAUAGAUAUAAGAAAAAUAAUUAUAUAUAAUUCCACAGAAAAUGAUAAAAUUAAUAUUUUCACAUAUUAAAUUUUUUUAUUUUUAUUCUCUCCUGUUUUUCUUUCUUGUUUCUCAUGUUUAUAUCCAUAAUGCUUGGUAGAAUUCCAAAUCAAUAUAUAAUUACUGCAAAGUAUUUUUUUUCAACAAAUUCGGAAACAUAAUGAGGAAAAAUAACUCAAUUUUAUGAAUUAUUUUAAAUAAAAUAAAUAGUAAUAAAAAGGAACUGAAUUUGAAGAAAAACUAAAUUGAAAGGAUUUUUUAAAAAUUUACAGGAGAGAGAAAGCAAGAAAAAAAAAUAUUAUAUAUACUAAGACAGCAUAAUUGAUAAUUUAAAUUUCUGAAUUACGUUGACCUGAUCUCAUUGUUAAAAAUAUUGUAUUAAGAACUCCUUUUUGCAAGCAAAAUUAUUGGUACUUUAUCAGCAGUUUAAUUAUCAACCCAUGCUAUAUGGCUUUGGCAAAGUAAGGGUCAAGCAAAUCCAUAAGGCCUAGCUACAGGGCAUCAAACACUGCGAGUCAAUGGCGUUGAUGUAAAGUCAAAGCUAGCUACAAGCCUAGCUUGUAGCUAGCUAGUCAACGCCUAUUCGAAUCUCGAUGACGAUGAGGGACAUAACACGUGGAUUUUUGAGUUUUUUAAGAUAUGUUUAUAUCUUGUUUAUUUUUACAUUUUAAAAAUAUAUUUUUUAAAAGUUUAUUAUUAUUUUUAUUUCAAAUUAAUUUUAUUUAGUGUUUUCAGAUCGUUUUGAUGUACUGAUAUCAAAAAUAUUUUUUUAGAACAAAAAAAAAAUUAUUUUGAUGUAUUUCCGAACAAAAAAUACUUGAAAAAACAACCGCUAUUAUACUCUUAAAUACCUAAAUUUAAAUUUCUAAUGUAAUCAUGGGGGGAUCUUGAUGAUCAACAUGAAAUAAUGAAAAUGCAUCAAACUAUUAUCACAUUGCUUUAUACAAGGGCAUUGAUCUAUCAGAUAUAUAUGCUAGCUAGAAACACUUUAUAUUUGGUUGAUCAAAGCUCGAUUGCAUGUAAAGUAAAUGAUGGGCAAUCUACCGGGAAAACAAAAUGUAAUGAUAUUGGCAAAUAUAUAGUUGUAAGUGUUUGCUUCUUGAAGUGCGUUAAUGCAUGUGAGCAUGUGCUGCACUUGCAAGUAAUUAGUACUAAUUAAUAUAAUCAUGUAAGUUUAUCAAUAUUAUAAAUAGUAAAAGUUCAAUGGUUUGAAUUGGGGGUUUGUAGACGAAAGAAUUCAUGCAAGCAAUUGUAUAUGUACAAUCUUAAGCACUAGAUUGAAAAUCACAAUAAAAACCUCUUCCAUUUGUGUAAAUGUUAUAAAACUUGCUGCUCAUGGCCACUGAUAUUGAUCAUGGUUUUGCAUAUUAUUGCUACCUUGGCAGCAGUUGGAUCGCCAUUAUCCUUGUGGUGCAACUCUUCAUCAAAACAUGCACCAGCUUUUGCACCAAGACUCGCCACCCACCAAGCCCUCCAGCCCUACCCAUCAUUGGCCAUCUUCACCUUUUAAGCUCAAGGCUACCAAGCUCCCUCAAAACACUUGCUAGCCAAUAUGGCCCCCUCAUGCUAAUACGUUUUGGAUCAACACCUAUUUUUGUUGUGUCCGAUGCCAAAACAGCCAAGGAGAUACUGAAAAUCCAUGAUGUUGAUUUUGCCUCUAAGUAUACACUCGCUUUUGGCCUCUCAAGAUUUGACAUUUAUGAUGGAUAUACUUUUUUCAAUGCCGAGUAUGGCACAUAUUGGCGGUUCAUGAAGAAGCUAUGCAUGACCAAACUAUUCGCUGGCACGCAACUGGAUCGAUUCAUCCAUAUCCGAGAGCAAGAGACGUUGAAGCUUCUAAAAUCACUGGUGGAAAGGUCAAGAGAGGGGAAGCCAUGUGAUUUAGGCGAGGAGCUUUCAGUCUUCUCGAGUAAUAUAAUUUGUAGAAUGGCAAUUGGCAAGAGAUGCAUGGAAAACCCUAAUUUACCUAUAGACAUAAGGGAGGUGGUAGGGGAUAUAAUGAAAAAUGCAGCAAAGUUUAGUUUCAAUGGAGUUUUUGGUCCUUUAAGCAGAUUUGACUUUUUAGGAAAAGGGAAAAGGCUCGUUUCAGCGACUUGGAAGUAUGACCGGCUAAUGGAGCAGCUGAUGAAGAAAUAUGAAGAAAAGGUUGAGUUGAUCAACGGUGGUGACGAAGGGGAGAAAGACGUGAUGGACAUUUUAAUGGAGACGUAUAAAGACACAAAUUCUGAAUUGAAGUUAACAAGGAGGCACAUAAAAAAAUUCUUCCUGGUGAGUUCUUUAAUCUUAAUGGUUUCGCUGAGUGCAGAGUUUUGUUAUUAUUAUUAUUUUUUUUUUUUUGAACUUUCCUAUUUAAAGUUUGAAAAAUUUAAAAAUAUUAUAUUAUUUGUUGAUUAUAUCAAAUUUAACCUUAAACUUUUGAUAUAUAUAUAUAUAUAUAUAUAUAUAUAUAUAUAUAUAUAUAUUGUUUUGAAUAUUUAUUUUUCAAUUUCAUCCCUUAGAAUUUAAUUUUUAUAUUAAUUUUGGUCCUCAUUUUUAUAAUUGUUAUUUGCUUUUCACUUAUUAUUUUUUAAUUGAAAUUUUUUAUCUAUCAAAUUUGGUCCCUAUUCUUUUGAUUGGUACUUAUUUUAUUUGGAAUAAUUUAUGAAAUGUUAAUUAUUAUUAUUUUAAUUUCUUUAUCUUUCAAUUUUUUUAUUUUUUAGAUUUGAUCUCUAUUAUUUUGAUUAUUAUUUAUUUUAUUUGAGAUAAUUUAUGAAAUUAUAUUUUUUUUUCAAUUUCAUUCUCAUUCAACUUUUUAAUUUGUAAGAUUUGUUCCUUAUUAUUUUAAUAAACUUGAAAAAAUAAAACAUUAAUAAAUUAUUUUUCAGCUCAUUUUACAUGACAUAACCAAACACUGAAAAAAAAAUAAAAUAUUAAUAAAUUAUUUUCAGCUCAUUUUCCAUGACAUAACCAAACACUGGAAAAUGUUUUCCAACUUAUUUUUCAUUACACUACCAAACAUUAGAAAAUAAUUUACUUUUUUAAAAUUUAUUUUUUAAAAUUUUUUUUUUCCAACAAACAAACAAAAAAGAAAAGAAUCAUUGCCCAAACUUUCCAGUGACCUCUCUAAUUUUGGAAAUCUACACUGACAAAUAAAGUGCUGUCUAAGUUUGUUUUUUUCUUAAUCGGCCAACCAUUAAGAGAAUAAUCAAGAUUUAAUAAUUGGCCCUCCAGUCAUCGUAGAGGACAGUCCCCGAAGAUUAAUGUCCAUAAUGAGAAAGGCGGACCACAAGAUGUCCUUUUGAUGAGAAAAGCGGACCACAAAAUGUAUCAUGCCACCUUCAGUAAUGUGCAAAGGGCGACGAAUUCCAUUUUAAGAUUUCGCAAUCAGAUUUUGGUAUAACAAAUCCCAUAUUUUUUUUAUCAAAACCCAAGAUAGCGAUCCCAUAUUUAAUUUUCAAGCCAUCCCAACAAAAUAAUAAAAGAUAUUAUUAUUAUUAAAAAAUAAUAAAAGAUAUUAAUUUAAUAUAUUUUAGUGUAUGUAUACACCGGGGAUUUAACAUCUCGCAGCUCAACUGACAUGUAUAUUUUUUUUUUGGCUGGCGAACUACAACAAAAACAAUAAUAUAUAAGAGUCAAGUGCAUGCAAUUUCUCUAUAUAAGCACAUCAUAAACUUUCAUUACUUACAAGUGUAAAACCCAAGAGAAAACCUCAAUCCAAACUAGCUAUAGCUACAACUGAUAUGUUCUAUUACCUCAUCUUCCUUCUUUGGUUUGUCACUGCGCUACUAGCACACUUCUUCAUCAAAAUAUUCUUAAGAUCCCGUAGUCAAAACAACCUCCCACCGAGCCCGCCAGCUCUACCUGUCAUUGGCCACCUACACCUAAUUGGGUCGGUCCUUGCAAAAUCUUUCCAAACCCUUGCCGUUCGUUAUGGUCCACUCAUGCAGAUUCGUCUAGGGGCAUCAACAUGUGUUGUUGCUUCUAAUGCUGUGGUGGCCAAAGAAAUAUUUAAGACCCAAGAUAUCAAUUUUUCCUCUAGACCUGAAUUUGGCUCCUCCGAAUACUUCAUUUAUAGAGGAUCAAGAUUCGUCACUGCCCAAUAUGGUGAUUAUUGGCGGUUCAUGAAAAAACUAUGCAUGACAAGGCUCCUUUCUGUCCCUCAACUUGAGAAAUUCACCGACAUCCUUGAUGAAGAGAAGGUCAAGCUUGUCGAAUCGGUGAUGGGGUGUGCUAGGGAAGGGAAAUUGUGUGAUUUAAGUAGUGAGUUUACAGCCUUGACAAACAAUAGUAUUUGUAGGAUGACAAUGAGCACACGAUGCUCAGGCAGUAAUAAUGAUGCUGAUCAGAUUAAGCGGUUGGUUAAGACAUGUUUACAGCUUGCAGGAAAGUUAAGUUUAGGGGAUGUUUUGGGUCCUUUCAAGAUUUUUGACUUCUCUGGGAAUGGGAAAAAGCUAGUUGGUGCACUACAAGCCUAUGAUAGGUUAGUGGAGAGGAUACUCAAGGAGCAUGAAGAGAAGGCAAAUAAAGGUUUUGAGGAAGGGGAGAGGAGGGAUUUGAUGGACAUAUUGUUGGAGAUAUAUAAUGAUCCAACUGCUGAAAUUAAAGUAUCUAAAAAUGACAUCAAGUCCUUCUUGCUUGUAAGUUCCUUCUCUUUACCUUCUACGAAUACAUGUGGCUCUCUUGUAUAUUUCUUCAAUUAUUGGCAUUGCUAACAUCUACAAUAUGUGCUUAAUUAGGACUUAUUCUUUGCCGGGACAGACACAUCAGCAACAGCCAUGCAAUGGGCUAUGGGAGAGCUCAUCAACAAUCCCAAGGCAUUCAAGAGGCUUAGAGAUGAGAUCAACACAGUUGUUGGGCCUAAUAGACUUGUUAAGGAAUCAGAUGUCCCAAACCUCCCUUACCUUAAAGCAGUCAUGAGAGAAACACUAAGACUUCACCCUUCAGCACCUUUAAUCAUCAGAGAAUGCGCUGAAGAUUGCAAGGUCAACGGCUCUGUCGUUAAGGCCAAGACAAGAGUUCUUGUCAAUGUCUAUGCAGUCAUGAGGGACCCGGAAUCAUGGGCUAAUCCCGACGAAUUCAUGCCUGAAAGGUUUUUGGAGAGCUCCGAGGAGAAAAUUGGCGAGCAUCAGAUGGAAUUCAAGGGUCAAAAUUUCCGGUUCCUUCCAUUUGGGAGUGGAAGAAGAGGAUGCCCUGGUGCAUCCCUUGCUAUGAUGAUCAUGCAUGCUGCAGUAGGGGCCUUGGUUCAGUGCUUUGAUUGGAAAAUCAAGGAUGGGAAGGAGGUGGAUUUAACCUUAGGACCUGGCUUUGCAGCAGAAAUGGCUCAUCCACUCGUGUGCUACCCUAUUAAGCACAUGAACGCAUAUUAGGAGAGCCACCAUGGAACUCUCAUCGAUCGAUCAUUUACUUCUUUGUUUAGUAAGGUGUGCCUAUAUAUGUACUUUGAAAGUCCUUAGGUUUGGUUGUUUUAGGAACAUGCAAGUACGUACUUCCCUCUAUCAGUACCUGGGACAAAGUUAUGAUUUGAAAUAUAAAUUGAAAUAAAUUAAUGUAUGUGUAUUUUACCUUGUGCACACCUUAAUUUGUCUUAUAUCUUUGUUGUUGUAAAAUUUAAUGAUAUUGAAACUCUAACUACCAAUACUUAAUCAAUUAGAUUGAGAUAGAUAUAAGAAAAAUAAUUAUAUAUAAUUCCACAGAAAAUGAUAAAAUUAAUAUUUUCACAUAUUAAAUUUUUUUAUUUUUAUUCUCUCCUGUUUUUCUUUCUUGUUUCUCAUGUUUAUAUCCAUAAUGCUUGGUAGAAUUCCAAAUCAAUAUAUAAUUACUGCAAAGUAUUUUUUUUCAACAAAUUCGGAAACAUAAUGAGGAAAAAUAACUCAAUUUUAUGAAUUAUUUUAAAUAAAAUAAAUAGUAAUAAAAAGGAACUGAAUUUGAAGAAAAACUAAAUUGAAAGGAUUUUUUAAAAAUUUACAGGAGAGAGAAAGCAAGAAAAAAAAAUAUUAUAUAUACUAAGACAGCAUAAUUGAUAAUUUAAAUUUCUGAAUUACGUUGACCUGAUCUCAUUGUUAAAAAUAUUGUAUUAAGAACUCCUUUUUGCAAGCAAAAUUAUUGGUACUUUAUCAGCAGUUUAAUUAUCAACCCAUGCUAUAUGGCUUUGGCAAAGUAAGGGUCAAGCAAAUCCAUAAGGCCUAGCUACAGGGCAUCAAACACUGCGAGUCAAUGGCGUUGAUGUAAAGUCAAAGCUAGCUACAAGCCUAGCUUGUAGCUAGCUAGUCAACGCCUAUUCGAAUCUCGAUGACGAUGAGGGACAUAACACGUGGAUUUUUGAGUUUUUUAAGAUAUGUUUAUAUCUUGUUUAUUUUUACAUUUUAAAAAUAUAUUUUUUAAAAGUUUAUUAUUAUUUUUAUUUCAAAUUAAUUUUAUUUAGUGUUUUCAGAUCGUUUUGAUGUACUGAUAUCAAAAAUAUUUUUUUAGAACAAAAAAAAAUAUUAUUUUGAUGUAUUUCCGAACAAAAAACACUUUAAAAAGCAACCGCUAUCAUUUAAAUUUCUCAUGUAAUCAUGGGGGGAUCUUGAUGAUCAACAUGAAAUAAUGAAAAUGCAUCAAACUAUUAUCACAUUGCUUUAUACAAGGGCAUUGAUCUAUCAGAUAUAUAUGCUAGAAACACUUUAUAUUUGGUUGAUCAAUGCUCGAUUGCAUGUAAAGUAAAUGAUGGGCAAUCUACCGGGAAAACAAAAUGUAAUGAUAUUGGCAAAUAUAUAGUUGUAAGUGUUUGCUUCUUGAAGUGCGUUAAUGCAUGUGAGCAUGUGCUGCACUUGCAAGUAAUUAGUACUAAUUAAUAUAAUCAUGUAAGUUUAUCAAUAUUAUAAAUAGUAAAAGUUCAAUGGUUUGAAUUGGGGGUUUGUAGACGAAAGAAUUCAUGCAAGCAAUUGUAUAUGUACAAUCUUAAGCACUAGAUUGAAAAUCACAAUAAAAACCUCUUCCAUUUGUGUAAAUGUUAUAAAACUUGCUGCUCAUGGCCACUGAUAUUGAUCAUGGUUUUGCAUAUUAUUGCUACCUUGGCAGCAGUUGGAUCGCCAUUAUCCUUGUGGUGCAACUCUUCAUCAAAACAUGCACCAGCUUUUGCACCAAGACUCGCCACCCACCAAGCCCUCCAGCCCUACCCAUCAUUGGCCAUCUUCACCUUUUAAGCUCAAGGCUACCAAGCUCCCUCAAAACACUUGCUAGCCAAUAUGGCCCCCUCAUGCUAAUACGUUUUGGAUCAACACCUAUUUUUGUUGUGUCCGAUGCCAAAACAGCCAAGGAGAUACUGAAAAUCCAUGAUGUUGAUUUUGCCUCUAAGUAUACACUCGCUUUUGGCCUCUCAAGAUUUGACGUUUAUGAUGGAUAUACUUUCUUCAAUGCCGAGUAUGGCACAUAUUGGCGGUUCAUGAAGAAGCUAUGCAUGACCAAACUAUUCGCUGGCACGCAACUGGAUCGAUUCAUCCAUAUCCGAGAGCAAGAGACGUUGAAGCUUCUAAAAUCACUGGUGGAAAGGUCAAGAGAGGGGAAGCCAUGUGAUUUAGGCGAGGAGCUUUCAGUCUUCUCGAGUAAUAUAAUUUGUAGAAUGGCAAUUGGCAAGAGAUGCAUGGAAAACCCUAAUUUACCUAUAGACAUAAGGGAGGUGGUAGGGGAUAUAAUGAAAAAUGCAGCAAAGUUUAGUUUCAAUGGAGUUUUUGGUCCUUUAAGCAGAUUUGACUUUUUAGGAAAAGGGAAAAGGCUCGUUUCAGCGACUUGGAAGUAUGACCGGCUAAUGGAGCAGCUGAUGAAGAAAUAUGAAGAAAAGGUUGAGUUGAUCAACGGUGGUGACGAAGGGGAGAAAGACGUGAUGGACAUUUUAAUGGAGACGUAUAAAGACACAAAUUCUGAAUUGAAGUUAACAAGGAGGCACAUAAAAAAAUUCUUCCUGGUGAGUUCUUUAAUCUUAAUGGUUUCGCUGAGUGCAGAGUUUUGUUAUUAAGUAAUAGUCAGAAAGUCUAAAAUAAGAAAUAAACAACCAAUCACGCGAGUACUAAUGAAGUUCACUUGUAUAGUAAUUUAAACGUAUUAACUCUACCUAUGAAUUAUUUUCUUUGUACAGGAAAUGUUUUUUGCGGGCGUGGAAACUAUUGCAACAGCUAUGCAAUCUGCCAUUACAGAGUUAAUACAGAACCCCACUGUAUUUACGAAGCUCAGGGAGGAAAUUCACUUGAAUGUAGGGUCUGAUAACAGGCUAGUCAAGGAAUCAGACGUCCCAAAUCUUCCUUUCUUACAAGCAGUUGUGAAGGAAACCCUAAGGUUAAGUCCUAUAGGAACGUUGCGGGCAAGGCAAUGCAACGUAGAUACUAAGAUCAAUGGUUAUGGCAUUAAAGCUGGUAGUAGAAUCCUCAUCAAUGCGUAUGCCAUAAUGCGUGACUCAAAUACGUGGGACAAGCCAGAUGAGUUCAUGCCGGAGAGAUUCUUAUCGGCCAAAUCGACCGACGGUGGUAAUAAUAUUGAUCAGCAUCCAACAUUGGACUUCAAGGGUGAUCAAGAUUUUCAUUACCUUCCAUUUGGGAGUGGAAG
rnacentral:lncRNA from 1 species